ensembl:lncRNA
CGUGUGUGCUGUGAUUGCUGGGUGCUGUGUAUCAGCAUGUGCUGCGUGUGCAUCAUCCAUGUGUGCUGUGUCACAUGUGUGCUGCAUGUCACAGCGUGUGCUGCGUGUGCCAUGUGCUGCAUGUCACAGCGUGUGCUGCAUGUUACAGCGUGUGCCGUGUGCUGCGUGUCACGUAUGUGUUGCGUGUGCCAUGCAUCACCAGUGUGAGCUGCGUGUCGCAGCGUGUGCCACAUGCCAUGCAUUGCUGUGUGCCAUGUGCUGCGUGUGCCACGCGUGUGCUGCAUGCCGCGCUGCAUGCUGUGCUGUGUGCUGCAUGUCACCCACGUGUGCCACGUGCCAUGCAUCAUGCCGUGUGGUGUGUGCCAUGUGCUGUGUGCCAUGCAUCAUGCUGUGUUGUAUGUUGUGUGCCGCGUGCCAUGCACCCUGCCAUGUUCUGCGUGCCAUGUGCUUUGUGCCACGUUCUGUGUUCCGUGUGCCGCGUUGCAACGUGUGCUGCGUGUUGUGCAUCGUGUGCCGUGCACCGUGUGCUGCGUGCCACAACACCCGCGUGCCGUGUGUUGCGUGCUGUGUGCUGUGUGCUGCACGCCAUGCAUUGCGUGCCGCGUGCCGUGCACCGUGUGCGCCGUGCUGUGCCGCGUGCUGUGUGUCACACGCAGAUCCGUGCGCCGUUCCGUGUGCUGUUCUGUGUGCCGUGCGCCGUUCCAUGCGUGCUCUUCUGUGUGCUGCUCCAUGCACCAGUCCCUGUGCACCAGUCCAUGCACCAUUCCAUGCACUGUUCCAUGUGCACCAUUCCAUGUGCACCAUUCAGUGUGCACCAUUCCAUGCACCAUUCCCUGUGCACCAUUCCAUGUGCACCAUUUCAUGUGCACCGUUCCGUGUGCACCGUUCCACGUGCACCGUUCCAUGCCAUUCCGUGUGCACGGUUCCGUGCACGGUUCCGUGUUGCACCCCUUGACCUCUCUCCUCUCUCCCCUCCACAGCACUGGUGCAAAAAGGUGGGUGUGAGAGCACAUGUGUGUGAGAGCACGUGUGUGUAAGAGCACGUGUGUGUGAGAGCACGUGUGUGAGUGUACAUGUGUGAGUGCACAUGUGUUUGGGAGGGUGCGUGUGUGUGAGUGCAGGCAUGUGUGAGUGCAUGUGUGUGUGAAAGCACAUGUGUCUGAGUGCACGUGUGUGAGCAUGUGUGUGUGAGUGCAUGUGUGAGUGCACAUGUGUGUGAGUGUACGUGAGUGCAUGUGUGUGUGAGAACGUGUCUAAUUGCAUGUGUGUGAGAGUAUGUGCGUGAGAGCACAUAUGUGAUAGCACGUGUGUCUGAGUGCACGUGUGUGUAAAAGCAUGUGUGUGUGAGAGCACAUGUGAGAGCACAUGUGUGUGAAUGCAUGUGUGUGAGUGUGUGUGUGGGUGAGCACGUGUCUGCGCAUGUGUGAGUGCACAUGUGUGUGAGUGCACAUGUGUGAGUGCACAUGUGUGUGAGUGCACAUGUGUGAGUGCACGUGUGUGUGAGAGCACAUAUGUGGGUGCACACAUGUGAGUGUGUGAAUCCAUGUGUGUGAGAGCACAUGUGUGUGUGCAUGUGUGUCUGUGUGUGUGUGAGUGCAUGUCUGAAUGCAUGUGUGUGAGUGCACACACGUGUGCGAGUACCCAUCUGUGUGUGUGUGCUCACGUGUGCGUGUGAGUGCAUGCGUCUGUACAUGCAUGUGUGUGCGCACAUGUGUGUGAGUGCACACGUGUGUGUGAGUGCACGUGUGAGUGCGUACAUAUGUGUGUGUGUGUGUGUGUGUGUUCAUGUAUGUAAGUGCACAUGUAUGUGUGCACGUGUGUGAGUGUGCGUGUGCCCCCCAUGUCACACCUCACCCUGCACUACAAUAGGGGCAGCUGUGGGGCACACUGGGAUCUGUGGGGCACACCUGGGGUCUAUGGGGCACACUGGGAUCUGUGGGGAUCUGUGGGGCACACUGGGAUCUGUGGGGCUCAAUGGGAUCUGUGGGGCACACUGACAUCUAUGGGGCUCAGUGGAAUCUGUGGGGCACACUGGGA